UCGGGAAUUUUGGGCAAUGGGCGAAAGCCUGACCCAGCAACGCCGCGUGAAGGAUGAAGUAUUUCGGUAUGUAAACUUCGAAAGAAUAGGAAGAAUAAAUGACGGUACUAUUUGUAAGGUCCGGCUAACUACGUGCCAGCAGCCGCGGUAAUACGUAGGGACCAAGCGUUGUUCGGAUUUACUGGGCGUAAAGGGUACGUAGGCGGCAUAUCAAGUCACUUGUGAAAUCUCCGGGCUUAACUCGGAACUGCCAAGUGAUACUGAUGUGCUAGAGUGCAGAAAGGGCAACUGGAAUUCUUGGUGUAGCGGUGAAAUGCGUAGAUAUCAAGAGGAACACCUGAGGCGAAGGCGAGUUGCUAGGCUGACACUGACGCUGAGGUACGAAAGCUAGGGGAGCGAACGGGAUUAGAUACCCAAGUAGUCCCUGAGCGGGCUGGCAAGGCGCAU
rnacentral:rRNA from 1 species